rnacentral:lncRNA from 1 species
CAAUAACAAAACACAAAAUGAAUCAAUAAAGUCACUUAUAAACCGACUGCUACUUAAAUCAGUAAGUCUGAAGAUGCCAGCAAUCUGCUUGCUGAGGCCACUGCUGUUUGGCGUAAGACCCAUAUUCGUAACCUGCCACAACUUCCUAGGAACACACUACCUAAAGUUGGAGGUUCAGACCACAGCCAGCCCAUCAUCCUGCCAACAACUGAAUCUGGUGUACAGACAGAUCCACAAGCACAAGUCAUCGCGGUGGAUGAAGACAUGGAGCACCAGAUUGUGAAUGAAGACUGCGAUGCUGCACAGUUCUUGACAGAUUUUUUUGAUGAAAAUGACUCUGGUUUAGACUCUGGUUUAGAGUUGGAGUACGACUCUGAUUUUUGAUAUGAUCAUUGUGAUGUCACAAAUAAAUUUUUAAGAGAU